rnacentral:rRNA from 1 species
CAGUAGCCGCGGUAAUACGUAGGUGGCAAGCGUUGUCCGGAAUUAUUGGGCGUAAAGGGCUCGCAGGCGGUUCCUUAAGUCUGAUGUGAAAGCCCCCGGCUCAACCGGGGAGGGUCAUUGGAAACUGGGAAACUUGAGUGCAGAAGAGGAGAGUGGAAUUCCACGUGUAGCGGUGAAAUGCGUAGAGAUGUGGAGGAGCACCAGUGGCGAAGGCGACUCUCUGGUCUGUAACUGACGCUGAGGAGCGAAAGCGUGGGGAGCGAACAGGAUUAGAUACCCGUGUAGUCCCUGUCUCUUAUAA